rnacentral:rRNA from 1 species
GACGAACGCUGGCGGCGUGCUUAACACAUGCAAGUCGAACGGAAAGGCCCUGCUUUUGUGGGGUGCUCGAGUGGCGAACGGGUGAGUAACACGUGAGUAACCUGCCCUUGACUUUGUGAUAACUUCAGGAAACUGGGGCUAAUACCGGAUAGGAGCUCCUGCUGCAUGGUGGUGGUUGGAAAGUUUCGGCGGUUGGGGAUGGAUUCGCGGCUUAUCAGCUUGUUGGUGGGGUAGUGGCUUACCAAGGCUUUGACGGGUAGCCGGCCUGAGAGGGUGACCGGGCACAUUGGGACUGAGAUACGGCCCAGAAUCGUACGGGAGGCAGCAGUGGGGAAUAUUGCACAAUGGGCGGAAGCCUGAUGCAGCAACGCCGCGUGCGGGAUGACGGCCUUCGGGUUGUAAACCGCUGUCGCCUGUGACGAAGCGUGAGUGACGGUAAUGGGUAAAGAAGCACCGGCUAACUACGUG